CAGAGUUCCCCGGAGAAGGAUGUAGAGAGACCAAGAAGUCAGGACAGCCGGCUGAUUCUGCAUGUUGGUCUUCCUAGAGCAAAACUGAUUAUCUCACUUCUCACAUCUCAAUCUCCUGUUAGUUCAUCCCCCUGGAAUGAGAGAAUAUAGUUGAAAGGCUCAAAACCCAUCAUUUUGUAUAUGAGUAAGCUGAAGCUCAGGGCUUUGAAGUGACUUACCUGAGGACACUGAGUUUGGGAAUGACGGUGCAGGAACCCUAAUCCAGUACUUUCUGCGCUACACAGUUAAAUGUCUACUUCAGGAGCUUAAUGGGUCUUUGUAAAAAAAAAAAACCCUGUUCAUUGAAUAGAAGAAUAAAACAAAUGUAUGAAUGAAUAAAAUAAAGAAUGAGGUACAUCAAGUUGUAGGAGAAGAGAAACUGAAAUUCCUGAGC